ACCUCAUGAUUUGGGCAUUGGGAUAAUUUUCCAUUAAAUCUUUCCCAAGCAUCAAACAAUGUCUCUCCAUUCAUUUGCCAAAAAUUCAAAAUCUCAUCUUGCUUUU
rnacentral:snoRNA from 1 species